UACGAAGGGGGCUAGCGUUGCUCGGAAUCACUGGGCGUAAAGGGUGCGUAGGCGGGUCUUUAAGUCAGGGGGUGAAAUCCUGGAGCUCAACUCCAGAACUGCCUUUGAUACUGAGGAUCUUGAGUUCGGGAGAGGUGAGUGGAACUGCGAGUGUAGAGGUGAAAUUCGUAGAUAUUCGCAAGAACACCAGUGGCGGAAGGCGGCUCACUGGCCCGAUACUGGACGCUGAGGCACGGAAAGCGUGGGGAG
rnacentral:rRNA from 1 species